AGCACUCAUUUCAGCGUCUUGUAUACUGAAAUUAGAAUGAUAACAGAGAAGACUAGCACAGCCUUCACACAAGGAUAAUGUGUGAAUUCAAGAAGCGGUCCGUAUUUUU